CCCGGUCGUCUCUGCUGUGUUGGUGGUUCUCAGGCGCGGACGGGUUGGCGAGCUGUGACGUGUGCUGCUGAGGCGUGUAGCUGUGAGUUUUUGUGAGUUGUAGCGGCGGUGGAGUUGCCUGCGCAGGGCGGAGCAAUGGCAGAAGAGCCAUCGAACUUGACGACUGCGGAGGCAGAAAAGGACUCUGAGAGGGGUGAUGAGACUGAGAAGACUGAGUUAGUGGCAGACAGUGAGAAAGAGAGACCUGCGGGUGCUGAAGACAGGCAGACAAACGCUGAACCUGCCGCGGCGGUAAAGGAGAAUGGGAAAUCCGCUGAUAAGCAGUCUGAAAAUGGCCGUGCAAGUCCAGAAGAAGACUCCAGCACUGAGCCCCCAGCUAAGAAUGGCAGGCAGAGUCCGUCCUCCAAUAAGAAGGUGGCGAAGGAAGCUGAGUCUGCGGAGUCUCAGAGGUCGCCUAAGUCCAGCCGGGGAACGGUUGGCUCGACAACAGCGGCCGUUUCCACUCCCGUCAAAAAGAAACCAACGCAGAACGACAUUGACUUGCUCCAGGGUCUGCUGACGUCGCUAUUAGACGCGGCCAGUGAUGUUCAGGACGAGGUGCGAGCGUCAGUCAGCACAGCAAUAUUCACACUGGGACGGAGCAAGCCGUACGAUGUGCUGCUCACCGUCUUCAACUACCUCACUGCCGACCGGCCCAAGGGCUUCAUGCAGCGGAUCUGCAUCCUGCAGGCCGUCGAGGAAAUAUGCCGUGACGUGGGCGCCGAACUGGACGACCACGAGGUCAUGGAGAUCGCGCCGCUCAUCGUUAAUGAGAUGGUCAGCAGCAAAGAGGUGAUACCACAGAUCCAGCAGCCGUGCUCCGAGGCGCUGGUCGGUCUGGGACAGAACCACUGUUUCCAGGUGAUGGAGAUUCUCACCACCAAGCUGGAGACGUCUCAGCUGCCACACUUUUACACGCUGCAGACCAUGGGCUCCCUGGCCACCUCAAACGUCUACACUAUGGUGCCCUUCCUCAAGGGCAUCCUGGGGCCCAUGCAGCCCAUGCUCAACAUGGUCAAACAGGACAACCUCAAGUGGGCCUUCGCCUUCGUGAUUGCCCGGUUCUGCGAGUGUAUCACUGAAUACCUGGCCAACAUCGAUAAGGCGCCCGACCCGCUGGUCAAAAAGGAGUUCUACUCCACGGAGAUCAACUCGGCGUUCGACAUUCUCUUCAACUCCUGGCUCACCUCCAAAGACUCCAAGGUGCGACUUCAGGUGGCGGAGUCGAUCGGCCAGAUGGCACACAUCAUGGACACGGACAAGCUGUCCGAGUCGCUGACCAAGCUGCUGCCGGCGCUGCUGCAGCUCUACAAGCGCCACUCGGAGCCCUACCCGGUCACCUGCGCGCUGGCCAUGGUGCUGGACGCCUCGCUCAUCACCGGGAAGCACGUGCUGGAGCUGCACAUGGAGGCCAUGUUGACGGCGCUGUUCCAGCAGGUGUGCGCCGUUCCCGACUACACGCUGCCACUGACGGUGAAAAACCAUUACGAGGUCCUGCGCUGCUGCGACACGCUCGCCAAGUGCAGCCCCGAUCCGGUAGUGAGCUUCUACCUGAACCGGUUGGGCCACAGCUCGGAUCGUGUACGGACCGGGUCGCUGACCGUUCUCAAACACCUCAUCAACGCCUCAGAGUUUGAGCUGGCGCAGAAGGUGCCCGAUAUCGAAGGAGGGUUACGCCUGCUGCUGAUGGACCCGUCAAACAAGGUGAAGAAGGCGCUGACGCAGGUGAUCAUGGCGCUGGCGCACCGCGGCUUUCUGACACAGCAGGACGGCGCCGUGUUCGUCGAGUUCAUCGUGCGCCAGUGCUGCCUGCCCGACGAGCCGCCGGCGCGCCGGCCGGCAGAGGCCGAUGUGACGGCUGAGUCUCUGCGCUCCAUGUGUGAGAAUGUGCUCCACCUGCUCAGUACUACCGUGGACCAGAUGCUGCCGCUGCUGUGGCCGCACCUGCUCGAGUAUCUGACGCCAGAGUAUGCCGGCGCGCUGCCCACGGUUAUUAAAUGCGCGGCGCAGCUGGCGGGCCGGGCGCGGAAGAUGGACCCCGAGCCGGACAUCUACGCCAACAAUCCGAACCUGCACCAGCCGGCCACGCUCCUCUCCUACCUAAUGGUUUGGCUCGGCUGUCCGGAGCCCGGCAGUCGCGGACACCACACCCUGCAGCUGAUGGAAGGUGUGGUGAACCAGAUCAACACCGGACUGGCUGAACUCUGGGACCUGCGGCUGCCAGAGCUCACCGAUAAACUCAACGAGAACUACGACGGCCGCCAGCGCCGCGAGUGGGAGCAGUCUGUUCUCUCGUUCCUGCGCGAGUCGCUAGUGGCUGUCGACAAUCAGGAGUGGGUCGACCAAGUCGGCGCCGCGAUGGCCGGUCAUCUGAGCUCGACGCUGUACGCGGAGCGGCCACGCGAGCGGGCCUUUCUGAUGCGCUGUAUGGCCGCGUGCGUGUGCCGCCAGCAGCACAAGAAACUGGUCUGCGCCCACAUCGACUCGAUAUUCGCGUCCGUGAGGCACACCGAGUCCUGCGAGAGACAGGGCUGCGCGCAGGCGCUGGGUCUGAUCUCGUCCGUCCACCUGGACCCGGUGCUGGCCAAACUGGACCAGGUGGCGCGCGCAGAGCUCUCCAAGAAACCCACCGGCCUGCUCGGCUUCAUGAAGGACACCAAGGGCGAGGCGGCCCAGGAACGGAUGCGCGCCACGGUGAUCCUGUGUUACGGCCAGGUGGCGCUGAUGGCGCCCCAACACCUGCUGCUUGAGCGCUUCGAGGUGCCCGUGUUCCGCGACCUGCAGACCUUCCUGCCCAACUGCAAGACCGCCGAGGUGCGUCGGGCCAUCGUGGAGACCUCUGGUGAGCUGGCUCGGGCGCUCCACCCGGACCGUCUGAAGGAGAGGUACCGGUUCAGAGGCCGGGACCAGCUGCUGCAGUUCACACUGACGGCACUGAGGACCGAACACGAACUGGAGGUGGUCCACCAGAUACUGGCCUCGGCCAGGGCACUAGUGUCUCUGGACCCUGCGCUCACCACCGAGGACCGGACCGGUCUGAUGAAGACAGUGUUCGAGGCCGUCUAUCCCGUCCGUCGUGAGCUACCCCAAGAUCACGAGUCCACAGCUCAGUACCAGAUUCACAGGAAGAUUGUCUCCGAGCUGGACCGUCUGGUGUGCACACUCCUGCUGCGCGACGUCUCGCCGGCCGUGCUGGACGACCUGGUGACGUCACUGGUGCCCUGGGUGACGUCACAGGCGGCCCACGAGCGGGCGCACAGCAUGUCCACGCUGGGGAUGGUACUGCAGACCUACCUGGACAACGUGCACGUCGGAGAGGGGCUGGGCCCGGUGAGUUUCUGCGUGGGUGGACAGCUGCUCGCCACUCUCGUCCCGCGCUGCGUCGACCCCGAGCUCACCAUACGGCCCAUCGCCUUCGACGCCGUACACACCGUGCUCAAGAUCCUUUCGCUGUACGAGGGCAGUCAGUGGGACAUGGAUGCGAUGGCAGAGCUGAGAGAGAAGAUACUGAACGCCGAGGAGGCCAACAUCAAGGAGGACAUGGCCACACUGUCCCAGAUUCUGAGCGAGCGGGUCAGCUCGACGCAGAUCCGCUCGUUCUUCGAGACCCUGCUGCCGGGUCUGUUGGACGUCCACCCGACCAGCUCGCUCGGCGGAGCCGUCACCGUCACCGUCCUACUGCGCAUGCGCGGCGCAGAGUUCUACGAACACGUGCCGGAGGUGCUCCGCGGUCUACACACCAAACUAUCCGAGAUAACGCACCCAGAGACGCGCCAGGAGGUACUAAAUGCCGUUCAGACGCUCUCAUCUCAUCACAUCGUGGCCGUGACGCAGGCCCUGCUCGCCUACCCGUUGCCUUAUGACGAUCACGUGACCGACUGCUGGCGUGUGAUCGGCCGCGACUCCCGGCUCUCGAGUAACAUCCUGCAGCAGUUUAUGGAGCUGGUCAGCUCGUCUGCGCCCUAUGAGGAGCAGCGGGAUCCCGGCCGUGAACAGCCCGUCCGUAUCGCCAUGCUGCAACCGCUCUGUGCGAUCAGCGCGAUGACUGAGUUGUUCAGUCUGCCGGAGCUGGCGGACGCGUGCGGCCCGGACGUGCCUCAGCUGCUCUCUCGGCUGCUGCUCGCCCAGGCCGCCUACGUGGGCGUCUUUCCCCCGGUCUCCGGCGCCAUCAACAAGAACCAGCCGGCCCACUCGUUCGUGCCCAACCGCAGCGCCUACAAACUCAGUCCGUUCAGGAUCGCCAGUGAGGCGCUGCUCUCGUUCCUCCGCUGUGUGAAGCUCACGGAGCUGGCAGAGGUGCUGACGUCACACUGCGAACAGCCGCACGAAGAUCUCAACCGCUACUCGGACUUUGUCAUCGACCUGUCCAGCGCUCUGGUGACCCACAGUGCCCACCUGAUGGCGCCCAUGGUGAAGUGCCUGGCGCCCGACCUAUCCAGUAUGUAUGAGGCACAGCGGAUCGCGGCUGUGGCCUUCUACGGAGAGCUGGUCCACCACCGGUGCGCGGGUAACCUGUCUCUGAUUGAGACCGUGCUGACCAGCCUGUCGUCCCGUCUGAUCGACUCGUCACCCGUGGUGCGGCGGCUCUGUCUGCUCGGACUGGGCCACAUCAGUCACCUGGAUCAUCCGGGGGGAUUCGGUGUCGACUACACACAUUUGAUCGGCCAGUUCGCCCAGCCGGUGAUGUCGGCUCUGCUGACUAUACCCCCGUUUCCCCUAGAUCGGCCAGUUCGCCCAGCCGGUGAUGUCAGCACUGCUCGGCGGACUGGACGACCGCGAGGAAGCCGGUGAUGGAAUCCCUCUGCAGGCCAUGACAGCCCUGUGCGGUGUGCUGAAGGUCGUCUCUAACGAGCAGGUGCAGCACACGCUCAUACCAAUCACCAUACGGAUACGAGUCUACUUCGAGAGCGAGUCAGUGGCGCUGCGUUCCACCUCGCUGGGCCUGUUUGGCGCGUGCUCGGCGUUCUGCCAGGGCGGCCUGCACGACCAGUACAUGGAGCAGGCGCACAACAACCUGGUGUCGCUGCUGAUUCACCUCAACGACCCCGAGCCCAGCGUCGUGCUGGCGUGCAAGUCGAGCCUGCGUCAGGUGGGUCCUCUGCUGGACGCCAAGGGCAUCAACGCGAUGCUGCAGAAACAUCUCAUCGACGAGGGGAAGCUGCAGUACGCCAACUUUGUCAGCGAUCUCUCCAAACUCAUGGUGGAGGAGCUAGAGCCGAAGCUGCACAUGUACAUCAUGAGUCUGCUGGCUCACUUCCGCUCCGGAUGGACGGAGCUGAAGGGCACCGCCGCGCUGCUCGUCGCGUUCCUGUUGUGUAACCUGCCCGCCGAGCAUCGCUCCAACGUGAAGGUCCAGCCGGUCUGCUCCGGUCUGAAGAAGCUGCUCCAGGACUCUGACUGGCACGUGCGGUCACAGGCCGCCAAGGCCAUCUCCCUUCUGCACGACUACUGAGCCGGCGUUUCUCGGGUGAGACCUAGGAGACCUCAGGACUUGUAAGUGAUGACCUGAGGUGGCCUUACCAGAGCCAGCAUUCUGUGACCUUGAGUGAGGUCUGAGGUGACCUCAGGACUAGUGAGUGAUAACCGGAGGUGACCUUACAUGAACUUUACGGCCCUGUUUGGGGGUCGCUCAUUACAGGAUUAGAACGAGUGACCUCUCUCAUACGGACCGUCACGUUGUGCGCGUGUGCGUGUGUGUGUGUGAUAAGCAAAAGCCCUUCCGGACGCCUCCAUAUAAUGUGAGCCUCGUGAAUGGAGCGGCUGUUAACGAAGCUGCGGAGUUUCGUUCCGGACUCUGAACUGUUGCGCUGGGAGCUCUGUGUCUGGACCAAGCCAGGAGUGAUUUCCCUGGUUCUUGACUAUCACACGCAGGCUCAGGGCCUGUCUGUCAGACUUGCCAUGGUCGGGCCCUCUAAGAGCUGGUGGCAGUGGGUUGCCCUUUGAGGCCUUGCUACAGUCUCUCGCACGAAACUCUAGUCGCACAAUGUCAUGAAGAGUGGGCUCUAGACUUUCACUGUUGCGUUUUCCCUCGCCUUAGUGUGAACAUACGUUAUGUUAGGGGCAUUCGCCAGAAACUGUAUCGUUUGCUUAUCGAGUCAGAAACUUGACUGAAGACUGCGAUAUUUUGUCUCGUUUAUUGGCUACAUGAAUCGUUGGGUAGUCGACAACGCAUAAAAGUUAAGUAUAAUCAUAAUUAUGGCUAGUCGCGCUGUCUGGACUGUCGGCUGCCGUCCGAUCGACAGUGAUUCCUUGGCAGCCCUCCGUCGUUACUGUAACUGACAAAUUCUGCGCCGCUGUGAUCACAUUUCACGACUACUCUGUGCCGCCUUUUGCCGCGGCCGGAGCGCCCUAGCCAGUGUCUGUCGCUGCACAGAGGCCGGGGUUCGGGUGGCAGUGUGCGACAGAUCAGUGGCCGCGUACAGAACACUCCCACACGGCUGUGACGAUGAGACAGUCGCUUCUGAGUUGUGAGUCCGUGGCCGGCGCCACUGGUGCCGUGAAUCGCGGCUGGAAUUUGUACCUCGGGGGCUCCGCCGGAGUGCUUAUCCGUGUUUCCGUUCAUUGUAUCUCGCCGCGCUGUGUAUCGGUCAACUGGGGUUUCCGCUGGUUGUUGUACGCAUUCCGCGCUGCUCGCCGCUGUAUAGUAUGUCCUGUGCGGCCCGUGUAGGUGAUAUUUAUGCCGAUAGAUGGCAGCAGCUGCGCCAGUGCCUUGCGCCGGACGCGCCGCCGCGUCACCAGUUAUCUCGUGCAAUGGUUGUCCCUAUCGCCGUAUACCGCCGUAGUUGCGGUGUCGGACUCCGGCGUUAGUACGAGGCGUCGGUAGGGAUAUCGGCUUGUGGGGGUGUUCUGCGCCGGCGCGUGUGAUACUUUAUAUCAAACGGCGCAUCAGGUAUAUUCAUUUGCGCCGUGUGUAAUUCGGUUCGCCUCUGUAACUGGCGACCUCCGAGGCAUUAUAUUAUUAUGGCCGAAUGGUUGUUGUUGAGUGGUGAAGUUGAAAUAAAGAGCUAUAGUUGGAAUAA